UGACUAUACCACAUUGAAACAGCAGUUCUCGUACGAUUGUCGAAGUUAAGCAGUGUCAAGCCUGGCCAGUAUUAAGAUGGGUGACCGCUUUGGACUACCAGGCGCAGUAA